CCCUACGGGGUGCAGCAGGCGCGAAACUUCCGCAAUGCUCGCAAGAGUGACGGAGGGAUUCCAAGUGCCUAUGCAAUGCGUAGGCUGUUCCCAUGUCUAAAUAACAUGGGGAGUAAGAGCUGGGUAAGACGGGUGCCAGCCGCCGCGGUAAUACCUGCAGCUCGAGUGGUAACCGCUAUUAUUGGGCCUAAAGCGUCCGUAGCCGGUUUAGUAAAUAUUUGGGUAAAUCGUGAGGCUUAACUUCACGAAUUUCGGAUAGACUGCUAGACUUGGGACCGGGGGAGGUCAGAGGUACUCCAGGGGUAGCGGUGAAAUGUUGUAAUCCUUGGAGGACCACCGGUAGCGAAGGCGUCUGACUAGAACGGGUCCGACGGUGAGGGACGAAGCCCUGGGGCGCAAACCGGAUUAGAUACCCGGGUAGUCCAGGGUGUAAACGAUGUGGGCUUUGUAUUGGGGGUCCCACGUGGGUGCCCAGUGCAGGAGAGAAGUUGUUAAGCCCACCGCCUGGGAAGUACGGUCGCAAGGCUGAAACUUAAAGGAAUUGGCGGGGGAGCACAGCAACGGGAGGAGCGUGCGGUUUAAUUGGAUUCAACGCCGGAAGCUCACCGGAGUAGACUGUCGAAUGUGAGCCAGGCUGAGACCUUGCUCGAAUAUAGACAGAGAGGUAGUGCAUGGCGA
rnacentral:rRNA from 1 species